ACUCCUACGGGAGGCAGCAGUGGGGAAUAUUGCACAAUGGGCGCAAGCCUGAUGCAGCCAUGCCGCGUGUAUGAAGAAGGCCUUCGGGUUGUAAAGUACUUUCAGCAGUGAGGAAGGUGGGUAUGUUAAUAGCAUAUUCAUUUGACGUUAGCUGCAGAAAGAAGCACCGGCUAACUCCGUGCCAGCAGCCGCGGUAAUACGGAGGGUGCGAGCGUUAAUCGGAAUUACUGGGCGUAAAGCGCAUGCAGGUGGUUUGUUAAGUCAGAUGUGAAAGCCCGGGGCUCAACCUCGGAAUUGCAUUUGAAACUGGCAAACUAGAGUACUGUAGAGGGGGGUAGAAUUUCAGGUGUAGCGGUGAAAUGCGUAGAGAUCUGAAGGAAUACCGGUGGCGAAAGGCGGCCCCCUGGACAGAUACUGACACUCAGAUGCGAAAGCGUGGGGAGCAAACAGGAUUAGAUACCCUGGUAGGCUACGUGC
rnacentral:rRNA from 1 species